rnacentral:rRNA from 1 species
GUGGAUUAGAUACCCGAGUAGUCCACGCCCUAAACGAUGAUGACUAGUUGUUGGAGGAGUUAAAUCCUUUAGUAACGCAGCUAACGCGCGAAGUCAUCCGCCUGGGGAGUACGGUCGCAAGAUUAAAACUCAAAGGAAUUGACGGGGGCCCGCACAAGCGGUGGAUGAUGUGGUUUAAUUCGACGCAACGCGAAAAACCUUACCUACCCUUGACAUGUACGGAAUCCUGCAGAGAUGCAGGAGUGCCCGAAAGGGAGCCGUAACACAGGUGCUGCACGGUCGUCGCCAGCU